GCCAGGCACAGUGGAGCAUGCCUGUAAUCCCAGCAGCUCAGGAGGCUGAGGCAGGAGAAUCAUGAGUUCAAAGCCAGCCUCAGCAACAGUGAGUGCUAAGAAACUCAGUGAGACCCUGUAUCUA
rnacentral:sRNA from 1 species